UGGCCGUCUGUUCCCGAAGGUUUCGUAACGCCUCGCUCCCGGGUCCAGCCCCUCCCCGUGCUGCGUCCUUUUUUGAUCCGGCGUCUGAGCCACAGGGUGGUCCGCGGGCGAAGCCGUUGGUUAGCCCCAAAGCAAGACCGGACGGUGAGGGGUUGAUGGGGCCUGAAGAUUCACUCGGAUUGAAGAAACUACUACUUCAGGAAAGCCCCAAAAGGAGAAAAGCCAGUGCUGAGUAAUUUUCCUGGGUGUGUGCCCAUCAUCCCCCGCAAAAUGAGAUUGCUUCCUUUUUCCUCAAAUGCGACAAAAUUACUUAGACACGCAAUUGGAAACUACUGAUGUCACUGAGGAUCGCCAGCACACUCCAGGACUGAGGAAAAAACCCUUCACCUGUACCCAGCAGAGCAUUGAACAAAGAAUUUGAAUGCUGGACAGAUUUUUUAAGGACAGGACUGGUUUGGGGGAAAAAGCUUGGAUAUAUUUUCUAAGGGUUGAAAAAGAAUGAAUUAAAGGGGAAAAGCCACAGGA